AAACCCUCCCUUUGAGCAGCCACAUAAUAUUUGGUGCCCUAUCUUCUUUUGUACCUCCUUGCUAUUUCCUUUGUUAUACUUACUGCAAGGGGCAUGGUUACAAAAGAAAUACUGAGACAAAAAAUACUGAGAAAGUCAACAGAAAGUAAGCUCACUGGUUGACUGUUUCCUGUCUGCAGAAUACACUCAGAGGAUUUCCUCAGGGCUUCAAUGCAGAGAAGCCAGAGCUUCAGGUCCCACUAAGGUGCUGGGAUGAAAUUCACGGGUGGUGAAGAGCUCUGAUAGCAGCACCAGCUGGCUCCCAGCUUCCAGCAGCCCAGCCGCUGCCAAGCUGGCCGCUGUUGGAGCAGCGUAUGCACCGUCACGCGUGGAAAGGCUGCUUCGUAAACCUUCCCUCCCAUCAGCACCGAGGAACUGACUGGACUACUAUCAUCAGGCUCCUUAGGGGUGGCUCUUUUUUCCCUACUGACCUUUAAACCCCAACACAAACGCGAAGGGGAGAGAAGAGAGAGCAGAAGAAGGGAGGAAGGAUGAGAGAAACACAGUUGAGGAAAAGGGGUGUAGUAGUAUUUUUUUUCCUAACCCAUCAAUAAAUAGCCAAGGUUACUUUUGGCAAAGAGAAAAACAGAAAAGGACAGACUGUGCCUGCUGGAAGCUUUUGUACUUCUGCCCAGACUGAGGAGAAAUGAUAGGAUUAAAUAAAAAUGCCAGCAAUAACAGAAAGGAAAUCCCCCCAAUAGUUUUCCUUGCCUGGAGGAAGAACUGCUGGAAGCGCUGACCUCCUUGCCUAUCUCAGGGAGGUCAAGAAACUGAUGGUCACUCCUACAAUUGUGAUUAACGAUGCCCCCGCAGGUGACCUGUUCCUAACCAGUCUCUGGAGUGCAGCAAGACUCAGUUGCCUGGUGGUGUGUUGAGUCAUUGUUCUGGCAAAAGAUCUAUUUGCUGCAACUACAGGCUUAGCUUUCAAGAAGGCAUCCUCUAGAUUCUUUGCUGCGACACCCUAUCAUGAAAGAACAGAGAGCCCAGUGCAAAGAAUGGCUGCUGAGAAGGAUAAAAUGUUAAAUUAAUUUUAAAAAAAGCUUUUGUUCUGAAUGAAAAAGUGCAGCAUAAUGAAUAAUUAAACAAUUAAUAAUGUAAUCCUCUUAA